CCUCCACGCUCCGGCAGCCCUGCACACAGCGGGACACCAGCUCACACACCUGCGCUGGAGUGAGCGCGAAAGCAAACAGCUGUGUGAGAG